AGUAAUAUAAUGCUCCAUCGUGUAAUUGCGCGUGUAGACAGCAGGUGGCACUGUAGACAAACAAGUCAUGCGCACAUUCUUCUUGGCCGAGUUACUGCAGAAAUGGAAAGGUUGAACGAGUUCAAACAGCUGGAGGAGAAAUUAUGUGCAGAGGGAAGAGAAUAGCCAGCCAUGCGUGCUUAAAGCCAACCAGGAGAAAAGAGAAAGAAAUAUGACUGGAAAAUAUGGCCUAAAAUCAUAUUAAAUUGUGCACUGCAGUCUGACCGCGAGCACCACCACAAACAUCGAAAAAACAGAAACAUCUAGUAGAGAUUGCAUAUUCAGAGGCGCAGAAGUGGAUGUCCAAGAAGCGGUUCCAGGAUGUUGUUACCGGCUGCUCUCCUAUUCCUGCGCUGGGCCAUGCGAGUGUAUGGAUCCUGUCCUGUUGACCAGGUUUAGGUUCUCUCUCCCAGGCACAUGAGUAUCUGUCUAAGGCCCAGUGGACAGUAGUGAAAAGACCAGGCUGCAGUCACACUGUCCUUCAUCAGCUACACAGAACCCUGGUCCGCCUGCAUGCUGCCAUGGGAAAAUACACAUCUGCUCUCCCUCUCUUUGCCAAUGACGUGUACUAUACCAGUGAGAUGUUUGGUUUGGGCAGCACAGAGAUGACUGGAGGUUAUUUCCUUAUGGCUGAUGUGUUUCUGAAGCAGAACAAGCCUGACAUUGCCCAUUCGCUCUGUAGGCAAACCCACCAUCAGCACACAUUGAGACAUCUGUCUCUGUGAAAUAUCUUUCAUUGUAUUGUGUGCGGGUGUACAGGUGGCAAAUUCAUGGCACGCUCACUUGUGUAAGCUGAUGGAUGGGAUCAGUUGGAGCUGCACUCAACCAGAGUGUUUUGGUGAGUGGCAUAAAGACAGUUAACCUCCACAAAUCUGCAAUUUAAUUUUCUGAACACCCCACAGCAUUAAUGACAUAUUUAACUUCCUGAAAAACAUAUUUUCCCACCUCAGGUAUCAAAUCCCUAUUAUUAUUGGUCAUUAUUUUAAGAUAUGGGCACUAUUAAUCUUCAACCCUGUUAUGGACCCUAUGGAGCUUUCUGAAUAUGAUCAUAAAAUGUAUUUGUUAUGAAAUCCACAUUUUCCUGUUAAUCAGAUGUCCUCACACUACCUCAGUAUUUCCAAAUAUAAAAUUACACAAAAUCUCACAGUUUUGAUACUAAAGCCUGAAAUUGAAUUUUGUGUGACAUCAACCUCAUAAUGUUUGAUCAAAGAAGUGGGUAAACUUCAGAAGUUGAACUAAAAUCAGUUUUCUUAUAAUUGCAUUGAACAUUUCAGAGUUCAACAAGCAUUAAAUCAUUUUUUCAUAAACUUUUGGUGUGACGGGGUUGAGACUAGGAUAACAGGGUUGAAGAUGGUCAUGGGGUUGAAGAGACAAAUAGAACUUAACAUGUCAAUAGUUGUUUUUUACUCCAAUUCACUGUAAGAUUUUCUAUAAACGCUGUAUUUCAUUAUGUGACCAAGAAAGACAACAGAUAUAAAUUUGCAACUGAACGGCGUUUUAUUAACCCGACUGCAGUUAAACAACAAUAACAUAGCAUACAUUAGAAGAUAAUAAACUGACUCAAUAGGUCAUGAUAAAUAAAACAUAUAACUUGUGUGGCAUUCAAUAUAUGGCCCACACCUCUUUCAAGAGCUCUACAUAAAAUAAAGAACACAGGCUCUGGUUUUAAACCAACAUACAACAAGCCUGUAUAGUGCAUCCAGAAGGUAUUCACAGCGCUCCACUUUUUCAUAACAACAAUUUGUUAUGUUUCAACCUUGUUCCAAAAUGGAUUUAAUAAUUUUCCACAAAAUUCUUAAAACAAUACCCCAUAAUGUCAAUGUGAAAGAAGUUUGUUUGAAAUCUUUGCUAAUUUAUAAAAAAAAAAAAAAAAA